AUGCUGGUGCCUCCGGAGCCGUCUCUGAUGGUGAAGAUCAAAGACUUCUUUACAACCUCGCGCUUCGUGGGAGGAGGAGGGGUGGCGAAGAG
rnacentral:ribozyme from 1 species